UACGUAGGGGGCAAGCGUUGUCCGGAAUUAUUGGGCGUAAAGCGCGCGCAGGCGGUUUUUUAAGUCUGGUGUAUAAACCUUGGGCUCAACUUAAGGAGGCACUGGAAACUGGGAGGCUUGAGUGUAGGAGAGGAAAGUGGAAUUCCACGUGUAGCGGUGAAAUGCGUAGAGAUGUGGAGGAACACCAGUGGCGAAGGCGGCUCACUGGCUCGACACUGACGCUGAGGUGCUAAAGCGUGGGGAGCAAACAGG
rnacentral:rRNA from 1 species